rnacentral:miRNA from 1 species
AAACUGAUGAGUAGUGACUGA